GACGAACGCUGGCGGCGUGCCUAAUACAUGCAAGUUGAGCGAUGAAGAUUGGUGCUUGCACCAAUUUGAAGAGCAGCGAACGGGUGAGUAACGCGUGGGGAAUCUGCCUUUGAGCGGGGGACAGCAUUUGGAAACGAAUGCUAAUACCGCAUAACAACUUUAAACAUAAGUUUUAAGUUUGAAGGAUGCAAUUGCAUCACUCAAAGAUGAUCCCGCGUUGUAUUAGCUAGUUGGUGAGGUAAAGGCUCACCAAGGCGAUGAUACAUAGCCGACCUGAGAGGGUGAUCGGCCACAUUGGGACUGAGACACGGCCCAAACUCCUACGGGAGGCAGCAGUAGGGAAUCUUCGGCAAUGGACGAAAGUCUGACCGAGCAACGCCGCGUGAGUGAAGAAGGUUUUCGGAUCGUAAAACUCUGUUGGUAGAGAAGAACGUUGGUGAGAGUGGAAAGCUCAUCAAGUGACGGUAACUACCCAGAAAGGGACGGCUAACUACGUG
rnacentral:rRNA from 1 species